CUACGUGCCAGCAGCCGCGGUAAUACGGAGGAUGCGAGCGUUAUCCGGAUUUAUUGGGUUUAAAGGGUGCGUAGGCGGCCUGUUAAGUCAGCGGUGAAAUCUAGGAGCUUAACUCCUAAAUUGCCAUUGAUACUGGCGGGCUUGAGUGUAGAUGAGGUGGGCGGAAUGCGUGGUGUAGCGGUGGAAUGCAUAGAUAUCACGCAGAACUCCGAUUGCGAAGGCAGCUUACUAAGGUACAACUGACGCUGAAGCACGAAAGCGUGGGUAUCAAACAGGAUUAGAUACCCUGGUAGUCCACGCAGUAAACGAUGAUAACUGGGCGUAUGCGAUAUACAGUAUGCUAGUCAUGGCAGUAAUCCACCUAACGGAUUAAGUAUACCGCCUGGGGAGUACGGUCGCAAGAUUAAAACUCAAAGGAAUAGACGGGGACCCGCACAAGCGGUGGAGCAUGUGGUUUAAUUCGAAGAUACGCGAAGAACCUUACCCGGACUUGAUAUC
rnacentral:rRNA from 1 species